rnacentral:lncRNA from 1 species
AAGCAGAAUAUUCGGUUCAGUUUUUGGUAAUUUUUUCUAGAUCAAAAUUCAAACAAUGAACCAAAAUUUUCUAUUAUUAAUAAAAGCUCGCACAGACAAAAACCGGAUCAAGCCCGACCCAUACAUAAGGAACAUAAGCCUAUUUUAAGGACUCAUUGUCCUCAAUGUACUAUAUAUGUAGAUUUAUCGUGAUGAUCAAAGUAUCCAAUUAAUACUUUGAUCUAAGUAAUCGAAGUGUAUCCUGUAAGAUGUUUUAAAAAUGUAUAAAAUGAGAGGAACCUCAAAUAAAUAGUUCAGAGUCAUCAUGAAUCUUCAUAAGAUAUUCACAAUCACUUUUGCUAUUGUUCUAUCAAUAGUUCUUGGCUUUCAAAAAAUUGAGGCUCAAUGAACACCGCCACCCGAAACAGAGAAGUCUGACAGGGUGGCUCAAUUACUUCAAUCGUAAACACUCCUUAAAAUGUAUUCCGUAUACAAUCUUAGUCUAACAAAUAUUUUAUAUGUAUGUAUAACAUAAUAUUUUUCCAAUGCUGUGAUGUUCGGAUUUCCGGUAAAUUAUUCUUCGUAUAUCUUUGACUGUACGAAACGGAGUCUGGGCGGAUGUUUAUUAUUGGUUAUAACAAUUAUGAAUAAUUUUCUAUUAUCUGAAUUUAUAAAUUUUAAUUUAAAUAUAUAUAAAAAUCAUCA